AUUGAACGCUGGCGGCAUGCUUUACACAUGCAAGUCGAACGGUAACAGGCCGCAAGGUGCUGACGAGUGGCGAACGGGUGAGUAAUGCAUCGGAACGUGCCCAGUCGUGGGGGAUAACGCAGCGAAAGCUGCGCUAAUUCCGCAUACGAUCUCUGGAUGAAAGCGGGGGACCGAAAGGCCUCGCGCGAUUGGGGCGGCCGAUGUCAGAUUAGGCAGUUGGUGGGGUAAAGGCCCACCAAGCCAACGAUCUGUAGCUGGUCUGAGAGGCCGACCAACCAAACUGGGACUGAGACACGGCCCAGGCUCCUACGGGAGGCAGCAGUGGGGAAUUUUGGACAAUGGGCGCAAGCCUGAUCCAGCAAUGCCGCGUGCAGGAAGAAGGCCUUCGGGUUGUAAACUGCUUUUGUACGGAACGAAACGGUCCGGGUUAAUACCCUGGGCUAAUGACGGUACCGUAAGAAUAAGCACCGGCUAACUACGUGCCAGCCGCCGCCGUAAAAC
rnacentral:rRNA from 1 species